GCCGCAAGGCCACCACCCACACACAGACAACCAUACCCCGAGCGGGACCAGAACCCACGAUCCCAGCACUCGAGCGGGUGAACACGGCCCACGCCCCAGACCGCGCGACAACCGUGAUCGGUAAAUGAGGAACUAGUGCACAAUAAUAAUUCAGUUAAAUUCUUAUUUAUUUGAGUGGCAACUCAACAGCCCAAGGACCAGUUACAAUGUGAGCACGAGCGAAAGAAAGAAAACAAAGCACAAAUCAAAGCAAAGUAAUAAUAAUAAUAAUGCUAUUAAAAAUAAACUUAGCUUUGAAAUACUAAGCAAUAUUUACCUGUCAAAUGCGAUAGGAGAAAUCAAAAUUUAAGAAAACAGGCGUAAGUAAACUAUGAUAAGGCAACAUAAAAUUAAAUAUUAUAUUAUAUAUGUUGCGCCGCAAUUUUGAGACUAGAAGUCAAAAUGCAUUGCCUAAAUGUUUUAAGACUUGCGACAAACGUUUUACAACAAUCACAUUAGUAUGUCAACACCUGGAAAGACAAUCUAGAUUAAGAAUGCCUGAGCUAGCAGAAUACGCAAAAGCACUUCUGCAAGUCGCGUUGUAGGUACACUGGAGUAUAAUAAUAUUAUUAAAUAAGCAGCAAAGAGGAACACGGAACCACCCACAGCCAAUUAGAAUAUACCACUUAGGGAACUGAGGACGAAAGGAGGAGUUAACCUCCAUCUUUCGCCAACCGCAGAGUCAGCAAGUUAAUGAUAUAAAUUGCUGAAUUCAGGAGACUUACGGAUCUGAUCUAAAACGUAAUAACCAGUAGACAGCCGGAGGCCCUAUCCGAUAUGGGUGCCACGAGAUGGUGGAUGGCGACAUUUAUCUGCAUUUCUAUUGCAAGUAAGUCUCUUUGCUCAUAUUAGCCAUGUUAUUGAAACGUCAGUGUUGUUGUGUGAUCUCAAAGUACAGUCUCCAGUGUACCCCAGCGAGCGCCAGGGUAGAAUAGGGUAGAAAUUGUGUAGAGUGACAGGCAAUGAAGGGAAGCAACAGUCUCACGGCAUCUCCCACUGAGAGGGAAAUUAGAAAGAGAGUAACGAGACGGUGUUAUGUAAACAUGCCGAAGGCGGCCCCUUUAUUGUAAAUAUCAGUGUAAAUAGACGAGUGUACAUAGAAUAGGAUGUACGCAGGGAGUUUUGAUUCACCCCUCCAUAACCUACCCGUCCACGACGGAUCCCGAGCGAUCAUAACCAAGACAGCCGAGUGUAGCGAAGAGCCUAACUAAAAGGGUGGAGAUGGACUAAAUUAGUAAUAUUUUCUCACCCCCCCCCAAAGUAGUGCCAGCUGCGCGAUCAACGAAACACACCCCGUACAGAUUGGUAGAAGAGAAAGGGUUUAGAAAACAGGAAUAGAUGGGGAUAAUAUUAAAUAGAACCAUGGAGGCUAGAAUAGCACAAUUAGAGGAACAAUUAAGAGGGCUAACAAUAGGGACAAAAACCAAAGAUCUAUAUAUCUGGCCGCAAGUAUCAAGGAAUGGAGCGGUCAAGCCAACGCCAGACCGGUAACCGAGUUCAUAUCACAGGUGGAGCAAUGUGCACGCCUGAGCAACUGGUCACGAGAGGACUUAGCAGACAUAGCGAGAGCUAAGUUAAUAGGUGAAGCGAGAGUGUUUAUAAACGGUAGGGUAUUCAGAAAACAUCCUGUCCUGUACAAGUCCAUUAAUACCUCUAACUUAAUUUAUAUUUUCAGAACAGACCAUCAGAAAGGGCUCCCGCCGCCCCUCAACAAGGCAUGCCAAGGGAUCCAGGGGCGUCAAGAACGCCAGGGGCCGGGCCACCAGGACCAGGCUCGCCAGAGGACCCCGCAGAAGAAACCAAUGUGGCGUCAUUAGAAGUAAGCAAAGUAAAUGCGUCCCUGUAACAGGCCGUGGAGGCCUAUAGGGUGGUGAGAUGUGGAGGUUCCCACAUUUUCUAGACAGUCGGCUCAUAGAAGGCGAUAAGGUUAUCAGCCUUACGCGCCCGCCGCGUGGGGGGAAACUCGAAGAUACUAGCUCAAAUGAUCAGGGCAAUGAAGAUACGCGGCGAAGAAGACGUUAGAGAGCAGUUAACUCUAGACCAGCAACUUAAUCAGACCGCGCGCCGGAUAACAGAGUCGGAAAAAAGGGCGAGCUAUACGAGAGCUAGAAGUGUUGUUAAUGAAGAUGUACGCGGAUAUAGCAAGCGUAGCAUUAAGCCUAGACUUAGCGAUGUCACAUCGCCUGACCGCCAGUUUGCUACCCUCCCAUAAACUGUUCGCGCUUUUACGCGACAUUUAUGUCCAACCAGAACAAGUUUAUUCAUUUAUUACAGCCUUGAAGCAGGAGAAUAUGCAUGUAUUUUACGCAUCGGCCCAAGUCGCAGUCCUGGCCACACAGGAAGCUAUUCGCCUUGUUAUCCAACAUCCUCUAAGACACGAGAAGCGAACCUACCUUGUGUACGACCCAGUGGCGUUACCAACAUUUGAGCUCCAAAUAGAAAAAUUCCUCAGAAUUCAAACAGGGACCGAGAGGUUGGCGGUAUCAUCCGAUAGGAGGAGUUAUAUGUUGCUACCUGCAGACAAUAUGAAGAGUUGCCAGGAGGGAGCUAUGACAAUAUGUCAGGGGGUAGUUCCCACCAUACAGAGGACAGACGAGACUUGCCUGAGUAGCCUAUAUUUCGGAACCACCCAAGAUUACUCGCUGUGCACACGAGAGAUUGUGUCCAACAACUUUAGGCAUGUAUUUAGAAAACAUCCUGUCCUGUAAAAGUCCAUUAAUCCCUCUAACUUAAUUUAUAUUUUCAGAACAGACAAUCAGAAAGGGCCCCUGCCGCCCCGGAACGAGAACGCCAGGGGCUUCAAGUACGCCAGGGGCCGGGCCACCAGGCAGAAGCUCGCCAGAGGGCCGGCCUCGAAAAAAAACCACAAUGGCGAUACUAGCAGUAAGUAAAGUAAAUGCGUCCCUGUAACAGGCCGUGGAGGCCUAUAGGGUGGUGAGAUGUGGAGGUUCCCACAUUUUCUAGACAGUCGGCUCAUAGAAGGCGGUAAGGUUAUCAGCCUUACGCGCCCGCCGCGUGGGGGGAAACUCGAAGAUACUAGCUCAAAUGAUCAGGGCAAUGAAGAUACGCCGCGAAGAAGACGUUAGAGAGCAGUUAACUCUAGACCAGCAACUUAAUCAGACCGCGCGCCGGAUAACCGAGUCGGAAAAAAGGGCGAGCUAUACGAGAGCUAGAAGUGUUGUUAAUGAAGAUGUACGCGGAUAUAGCAAGCGUAGCAUUAAGCCUAGACUUAGCGAUGUCACAUCGCCUGACCGCCAGUUUGCUACCCUCCCAUAAACUGUUCGCGCUUUUACGCGACAUUUAUGUCCAACCAGAACAAGUUUAUUCAUUUAUUACAGCCUUGAAGCAGGAGAAUAUGCAUGUAUUUUACGCAUCGGCCCAAGUCGCAGUCCUGGCCACACAGGAAGCUAUUCGCCUUGUUAUCCAACAUCCUCUAAGACACGAGAAGCGAACCUACCUUGUGUACGACCCAGUGGCGUUACCAACAUUUGAGCUCCAAAUAGAAAAAUUCCUCAGAAUUCAAACAGGGACCGAGAGGUUGGCGGUAUCAUCCGAUAGGAGGAGUUAUAUGUUGCUACCUGCAGACAAUAUGAAGAGUUGCCAGGAGGGAGCUAUGACAAUAUGUCAGGGGGUAGUUCCCACCAUACAGAGGACAGACGAGACUUGCCUGAGUAGCCUAUAUUUCGGAACCACCCAAGAUUACUCGCUGUGCACACGAGAGAUUGUGUCCAACAACUUUAGGCAUGUAUUUAGAAAACAUCCUGUCCUGUAAAAGUCCAUUAAUCCCUCUAACUUAAUUUAUAUUUUCAGAACAGACAAUCAGAAAGGGCCCCUGCCGCCCCGGAACGAGAACGCCAGGGGCUUCAAGUACGCCAGGGGCCGGGCCACCAGGCAGAAGCUCGCCAGAGGGCCGGCCUCGAAAAAAAACCACAAUGGCGAUACUAGCAGUAAGUAAAGUAAAUGCGUCCCUGUAACAGGCCGUGGAGGCCUAUAGGGUGGUGAGAUGUGGAGGUUCCCACAUUUUCUAGACAGUCGGCUCAUAGAAGGCGGUAAGGUUAUCAGCCUUACGCGCCCGCCGCGUGGGGGGAAACUCGAAGAUACUAGCUCAAAUGAUCAGGGCAAUGAAGAUACGCCGCGAAGAAGACGUUAGAGAGCAGUUAACUCUAGACCAGCAACUUGAUCAGACCGCGCGCCGGAUAACCGAGUCGGGAAAAAGGGCGAGCUAUACGAGAGCUAGAAGUGUUGUUAAUGAAGAUGUACGCGGAUAUAGCAAGCGUAGCAUUAAGCCUAGACUUAGCGAUGUCACAUCGCCUGACCGCCAGUUUGCUACCCUCCCAUAAACUGUUCGCGAUUUUACGCGACAUUUAUGUCCAACCAGAACAAGGCUAUUCAUUUGUUGUGCCCAGGACUUUUGAAAACAUUUUGAAAACUUGGCCUUGAAGUUUUAAAUUAUAUUAUUAAGGCUUAGCAGAUAUGAAUUUAUGGUUGAGCUAGAAUGAUGAAAUUAACUACGGAAAUCGAGAUUGCUCAUGUAUCCUGUUAUUCAUGAUUAUUCAUUUCCGUUAGUCAGCCACUUCCCACAAUGAGGGACAAAGUCAGGAAAGACCAAAUAUAGGCAAGUUUAAGAACCGAAGGGAAUGUAGCCAAUGGGAAUCUCCGAUUCCCAAUGCGUCCAUGAGGACCGAAGCACGCCCACGGAUCCAGAUGGUAUAAGAACCCUGGGACCAGAGGGCGGAGGGCUAAGCUAAGACUGCACGAUUGUCGCCAGACGCCGACAGAGUACGCUUUCGAGCCCGUGGGGCACGACGACGCGGAGUCGCGAGGGGCAUCACUGAACAAGGAACCGCGAGAGAUGGGACUAUAGUUGUCGCCCAAGGAAGGGGCACAACAGACCAUCAGAAUGGGCUCCCGCCGCCCCUCAACAAGGACGCCAAGGGAUCCAGGGGCGCCAAGAACGCCAGGGGCCGGGCCACCAGGCCCAGGCUCGCCAGAGGCCCACACAAAAAACCAAUGUGGCGCUAUUAGAAGUAAGUAAAGUAAAUGUGUCCCUGUAACAGGCCGUGGAGGCCUAUAGGGUUGUGAGAUAUGUGGAGGUUCCCACAUUUUCUAGACAGUCGGCUCAUAGAAGGCGAUAAGGUUAUCAGCCUUACGCGCCCGCCGCGUGGGGGGAAACUCGAAGGUACGUACUAGCUCAAAUGAUCAGGGCAAUGAAGAUACGCCGCGAAGAAGACGUUAGAGAGCAGUUAACUCUACACCAGCAACUUAAUCAGACCGCGCGCCGGAUAACCGAGUCGGAAAAAAGAGCGAGCUAAACGAGAGCUAGAAGUGUUGUUAAUGAAGAUGUACGCGGAUAUAGCAAGCGUAGCAUUAAGCCUAGACUUAGCGAUGUCACAUCGCAUGACCGCCAGUUUUCUACCCUCCCAUAAACUGUUCGCGAUUUUACGCGACAUUUAUGUCCAACCAGAACAAGGCUAUUCAUUUAUUACAGCCUUGAAGCCGGAGAAUAUGCAUGCAUUUUACGAAUCGGCCCAAGCCGCAGUCCUGGCCACACAGGAAGCUAUUCGCCUUGUUAUCCAACUUCCUCUAAGACACGAGAAGCGAACCUACCUUGUGUACGACCCAGUGGCGUUACCAACAUUUGAGAACCAUAUAGGAAAAUUUGUCAGAUUUCAAACAGGGACCGAGAGGUUAGCGGUAUCAUCCGAUAGGAGGAGUUAUAUGUUGCUACCUGCAGACAAUAUGAAGAGUUGCCAGGAGGGAACUAUGGCAAUAUGUCAGGGGGUAGUUCCCACCAUAGAGAGGACAGACGAGACUUGCCUGAGUAGCCUAUAUUUCGGAACCACCCAAGGUUACUCGCUGUGCACACGAGAGAUUGUGUCCAACAAUUUUAGGCCUGUAUUUAGAAAACAUCCUGUCCUGUACCAAGUCCAUUAAUCCCUCUAACUUAAUUUAUAUUUUCAGAACAGACCAUCAGAAAGGGCUACCGCCGCCCUUCAACAAGGACGCCAAGGGAUCCAGGGGCGUCAAGAACGCCAGGGGCCGGGCCACCAGGCCCAGGCUCGCCAGAGGCCCACACACAAAAAACCAAUGUGGCGCUAUUAGAAGCAAGCAAAGUAAAUGCGUCCCUGUAACACGCCGUGGAGGCCUACAGGGUGGUGAGACGUGGAGGUUCCCACAUUUUCUAGACAGUCGGCUCA